GAUGAACGCUGGCGGCGUGCCUAAUACAUGCAAGUCGAGCGAACAGACGAGGGGCUUGCUCCUCUGACGUUAGCGGCGGACGGGUGAGUAACACGUGGAUAACCUACCUAUAAGACUGGGAUAACUUCGGGAAACCGGAGCUAAUACCGGAUAAUAUAUUGAACCGCAUGGUUCAAUAGUGAAAGACGGUUUUGCUGUCACUUAUAGAUGGAUCCGCGUCGCAUUAGCUAGUUGGUAAGGUAACGGCUUACCAAGGCAACGAUGCGUAGCCGACCUGAGAGGGUGAUCGGCCACACUGGAACUGAGACACGGUCCAGACUCCUACGGGAGGCAGCAGUAGGGAAUCUUCCGCAAUGGGCGAAAGCCUGACGGAGCAACGCCGCGUGAGUGAUGAAGGUCUUCGGAUCGUAAAACUCUGUUAUUAGGGAAGAACAAAUGUGUAAGUAACUAUGCACGUCUUGACGGUACCUAAUCAGAAAGCCACGGCUAACUACGUG
rnacentral:rRNA from 1 species